rnacentral:miRNA from 1 species
AAAUCACUUUGCUUGGAAUUCA